CGAAGGGUGCAAGCGUUAAUCGGAAUUACUGGGCGUAAAGCGCGCGUAGGUGGUUCAGCAAGUUGGAUGUGAAAUCCCCGGGCUCAACCUGGGAACUGCAUCCAAAACUACUGAGCUAGAGUACGGUAGAGGGUGGUGGAAUUUCCUGUGUAGCGGUGAAAUGCGUAGAUAUAGGAAGGAACACCAGUGGCGAAGGCGACCACCUGGACUGAUACUGACACUGAGGUGCGAAAGCGUGGGGAGCAAACAGGAUU
rnacentral:rRNA from 1 species